GGACCUCGGCCUUUUGGCUAAGAUCAAGUAUAGUAUCUGUUCUUAUCAGUUUAAUAUCUGAUACGUCCCCCAUCGGGGGACUACAUAUUAAAUGCUCCCAA
rnacentral:snRNA from 1 species